AGGCAUGUGACGCGAUCAGCGCCUUCAGAACUGCGUCCGGCCGUUCCGCCGUCAGCAUGUGACCUGCACCCGACAGCACGACAGGCGUUGACCCCGCGAUUGCAGUGGCGAGCUGCUUGCCUGACUUGAGCGGCGUCAUCAUGUCCCGUUCGCCGAGAAUGAGCGUGGUCGGUGCGGUUACUUUCACCGCGGAUUCCAGUGCGGCUUUGUAGUCGUUGCAGGCUGAAAGAUCGUUGAACAGCACGCCCGGCGCAUCGCGCUCGA
rnacentral:misc_RNA from 1 species